GAUGAGCCAAGUUUAAGAACUUUACUUAUAAAGUUCGAAAUGAUUUUAACUGAAGAGUUUGAUCAUGGCUCAGAUUGAACGCUGGCGGCAGGCUUAACACAUGCAAGUCGA
rnacentral:rRNA from 1 species